GGGCGCCGAUGCCGCCGCCGCAGCAGCAGCAGAAGGGGAGUGGAGGAGGGCAAGGACAGCGUAGUUCUUACGGAGAGCGUUGACGGAGUUACCAACGACUGACACGUGUCGACAUCGAGGGCAAGACAACGUCGUAUCGAGCGAAGCAGAGAACAUCCGUGAUAGACACUCCUUGCAGAAGCCGUGUCCACAUUGAAGCAGCAAAGGAACUCUCUCCUCCUCGUU
rnacentral:misc_RNA from 1 species